rnacentral:rRNA from 1 species
CCUACGGGGGGCAGCAGUGAGGAAUAUUGGUCAAUGGGCGCGAGCCUGAACCAGCCAAGUCGCGUGAAGGAUGACUGCCCUACGGGUUGUAAACUUCUUUUAUAAAGGAAUAAGGUGCGGCACGUGUGCCUUUUUGUGUGUACUUUAUGAAUAAGGAUCGGCUAACUCCGUGCCAGCAGCCGCGGUAAUACGGAGGAUCCGAGCGUUAUCCGGAUUUAUUGGGUUUAAAGGGUGCGUAGGUGGGUGGUUAAGUCAGUGGUGAAAGUUUGGGGCUCAACCGUCAAAUUGCAGUUGAUACUGGCAGUCUUGAGUGCAGUAGAGGUAGGCGGAAUUCGUGGUGUAGCGGUGAAAUGCAUAGAUAUCACGCAGAACUCCGAUUGCGAAGGCAGCUUACCA